rnacentral:lncRNA from 1 species
GGCAGAUCCAGACAUUUUCUUAAAGGUGGGGGGAGGACACUGACUGUAUUUAAGGGGCCCGCGCCAGUCACACUUCCUUGAUUCCCUAUAUAAAUUACCAAAUUUUUCCCAUAAAGGGGGAGAGCGGGAACACCAACCCCAUAAAUCCGCUUCUGGGUAUGAUUUCUUAAGACAACUCUCCACCAAAAUUGACGUCUCUCUUG